AAGUGAAAACGAGUAGGACGGGACACGUGUUAUCCUGUCUGAAUAUGGGGGGACCAUCCUCCAAGGCUAAAUACUCCUGACUGACCGAUAGUGAACCAGUACCGUGAGGGAAAGGCGAAAAGAACCCCUGUGAGGGGAGUGAAAUAGAACCUGAAACCGUGUACGUACAAGCAGUAGGAGCAGGCUUGUCCUGUGACUGCGUACCUUUUGUAUAAUGGGUCAGCGACUUAAUUUUAGUAGCAAGGUUAACCGUUUAGGGGAGCCGUAGGGAAACCGAGUCUUAACUGGGCGUUCAGUUGCUAGGAUUAGACCCGAAACCAGGUGAUCUAGCCAUGGGCAGGUUGAAGGUGAGGUAACACUUACUGGAGGACCGAACCGACUAAUGUUGAAAAAUUAGCGGAUGACUUGUGGCUAGGGGUGAAAGGCCAAUCAAACCUGGAGAUAGCUGGUUCUCCCCGAAAGCUAUUUAGGUAGCGCCUCGGACGAAUACUACUGGGGGUAGAGCACUGUUAAGGCUAGGGGGUCAUCCCGACUUACCAACCCUUUGCAAACUCCGAAUACCAGUAAGUACUAUCCGGGAGACACACGGCGGGUGCUAACGUCCGUCGUGGAGAGGGAAACAACCCAGACCGCCAGCUAAGGUCCCAAAGUUAUAGCUAAGUGGGAAACGAUGUGGGAAGGCUCAGACAGCCAGGAUGUUGGCUUAGAAGCAGCCAUCAUUUAAAGAAAGCGUAAUAGCUCACUGGUCGAGUCGGCCUGCGCGGAAGAUUUAACGGGGCUAAGCUAUACACCGAAGCUGCGGCAAUGUGACUUGUCACAUUGGGUAGGGGAGCGUUCUGUAAGCGGUUGAAGGUGCAUGGUAACGUGUGCUGGACGUAUCAGAAGUGCGAAUGCUGACAUGAGUAACGAUAAAGGGAGUGAAAAACUCCCUCGCCGGAAGAUCAAGGGUUCCUGUCCAACGUUAAUCGGGGCAGGGUGAGUCGACCCCUAAGGCGAGGCCGAAAGGCGUAGUCGAUGGGAAACGGGUUAAUAUUCCCGUACUUCUUAUAACUGCGAUGGAGGGACGGAGAAGGCUAGGUGGGCCUGGCGACGGUCGUCCAGGUUCAAGUAUGUAGGCUGAUGGUUUAGGCAAAUCCGGACCAUCUUAAGGCUGAGAUACGAUGUCGAGGCACCACGGUGCUGAAGUCAUUGAUGCCAUGCUUCCGGGAAAAGCUUCUAAGCUUCAGGUUAUAAGAAAUCGUACCCCAAACCGACACAGGUGAUCAGGUAGAGAAUACCAAGGCGCUUGAGAGAACUCGGGUGAAGGAACUAGGCAAAAUGGUACCGUAACUUCGGGAGAAGGUACGCUCCUAGCGGUGAUGAGACUUGCUCUCUAAGCUGCCGGGAGUCGCAGAUACCAGGUGGCUGCAACUGUUUAUUAAAAACACAGCACUGUGCAAAAUCGAAAGAUGACGUAUACGGUGUGACGCCUGCCCGGUGCCGGAAGGUUAAUUGAUGGGGUUAGACGCAAGUCGAAGCUCUUGAUCGAAGCCCCGGUAAACGGCGGCCGUAACUAUAACGGUCCUAAGGUAGCGAAAUUCCUUGUCGGGUAAGUUCCGACCUGCACGAAUGGCGUAAUGAUGGCCACGCUGUCUCCACCCGAGACUCAGUGAAAUUGAAAUCGCAGUGAAGAUGCUGCGUACCCGCGGCUAGACGGAAAGACCCCGUGAACCUUUACUACAGCUUGGCACUGAACAUUGACCCUACAUGUGUAGGAUAGGUGGGAGGCUUUGAAGCA
rnacentral:rRNA from 1 species